rnacentral:rRNA from 1 species
UCUAGCGNUGCCGCGUGAGUGACGAAGGNCUUAGGAUCGUAAAGCUCUUUCGCCAGGGAUGAUAAUGACAGUACCUGGUAAAGAAACCCCGGCUAACUCCGUGCCAGCAGCCGCGGUAAUACGGAGGGGGUUAGCGUUGUUCGGAAUUACUGGGCGUAAAGCGCACGUAGGCGGAUCAAUAAGUUAGAGGUGAAAUCCCAGGGCUCAACCCUGGAACUGCCUUUAAUACUGUUGGUCUAGAGUUCGAGAGAGGUAAGUGGAAUUCCGAGUGUAGAGGUGAAAUUCGUAGAUAUUCGGAGGAACACCAGUGGCGAAGGCGGCUUACUGGCUCGAUACUGACGCUGAGGUGCGAAAGUGUGGGGAGCAAACAGGAUUAGAUACCCUGGUAG